UGUAAACAAUAUGAUGAUUUAAUUGUAAGACUCGUAAAAGUUGCUUUCUGCCUCGAGUAUAUAAUAAAGUGAUUGAGUAGUAAGGUGUUGAUCGCGUUUGUCCAUCACUCGUUGCAAUCAAUUAAAUUUUUCGCCAGGAUCGGAGCGAGGAUACCCUCCACUGUGCCUGCAACAUAUUUCGCUUUGUUACUACACAUAGGUACGUAGCGAUUGCUCGACACCGAUUGUGAAAAUGACAUUACACUUUGCGUACGUACACGUUCGCAAACCGAGAGAAAUGAAACUCGUUCAAGUUUCGAGUGCGCAAAAAUCAACAUUUCGCAGCAGCGAAUAUUACCUUCGAGUAGCGGCCAAAAAAAAGUCGAAAUUCAUCGAGUACCAUUACGAGACUCGCAGUAUUAAAUGUAUAAGUAUAUGAAUAGGUGUAGAAAAUGUAGAUAGAUCUUACGAGAGAGCUCUAGACAAUCGAUGAAUUGUCCGACUUUACGACUCUUACUUGGGUUCGAUUGACAGGCUACGUUCUUAGUGUGGCUAAGUAAAAAAUCAUUGAUAGGACCGAUGAUGUUUAUUCAAUUGCAUAAUUGCCAGCUCAAUAAAAAUUCGUUUAAUUAUCCGAAGGUUGCCGGCAACGUUACGACGCUCGUUCGCUCGAAAAGGAAAAACAUUACUUUAAAUGAUGUUUUUCGAGAAUCAUUUUUCAUACUAACUUACUGUAAGCUGCUUGAUAUUAA